AGAGCGCAGGGCCGGCCCGCUCACCUCCGGCGGCGCCGGCGCCCCUCCCGUUAGACGCCUGGGCAGCAUCUGCCCGCACCUUCCUGCGGGGCGCUUGGCUGGGGGCUUCCUGCACGUCGGGGACCGGGGAAAGGGAGUCGGGGGGCAGGGGGAAGGACGGGAGGGACAGCCAGACCUUGGCCAGCUGGACCUCCUGAGGAAGGUGCGGGAGAGUGGGGCGGGUACAGCCGGGCGGAAGACGAAUCCCGAGGCUGCGGAGGAUCCGGAGCUUCUCUCCUGCGACGCCGAAGGACACGAGAGUUCUGAGAGGCGCCGUGGAGGAAGGAGACCCUCUGAGGUCAUGCAAGCAGGUCUCUGCCCAAAUCCCACCGAAAAGCUGAAUGGAGGAGUGUCAUGCCUCGGUUUCCCCAACUGCAAGGGCAAGACGCAGCUCAAAGGCCUACAGUUAUCUGACCACAGGUUAUUAUGACACAAAGGUGGAGGGCCAGACACCUUAUCAGCAAAUGAAUAUGUCCUUCAGGAUCCAGCAUGUAAGUAUACAGGUAACGGGGUAGACAAUAUUUAGAAUACAUGGACCCAGAACUGGAAUGUGGAAAAUCCCCCCACACCUUAAUAUAGGGGAAAGAAGUUUGGUAGAGAUUUUUCCAUAUUUGACAAUAAUCUUAAAAAUGUAUGUAACUUUUCCAAUAAUGAACUGUAGACUGGAAAGAAACUCUUCUAAAGUAUCAAUAAUAAAAAGAAAUUUCAAUCAACUACGCUAAUGGAA
rnacentral:lncRNA from 1 species